rnacentral:rRNA from 1 species
UACGUAGGGGGCAAGCGUUGUCCGGAAUUAUUGGGCGUAAAGCGCGCGCAGGCGGUCAUUUAAGUCUGGUGUUUAAGCCCGGGGCUCAACCCCGGUUCGCAUCGGAAACUGGAUGACUUGAGUAUAGGAGAGGAAAGUGGAAUUCCACGUGUAGCGGUGAAAUGCGUAGAGAUGUGGAGGAACACCAGUGGCGAAGGCGACUUUCUGGCCUAUAACUGACGCUGAGGCGCGAAAGCGUGGGGAGCAAACAGGG